rnacentral:misc_RNA from 1 species
GAUUUUAACUUCAUGUGUUGAGGAUAUGAUGGAUAGAAUUAUGAGGCCGCUCCUGUGCCGUAUAGGGUCACGUGGACGGCUGUGAUCUGUCUGUUUGAGCUCGAUUUGACUAGAAAAGAAAGCCCGAAGGAGUUGGUUGGUGUGGCCGUCAUUGCAAUUAUUUUAUUUUGAUGUCUCAGCCAAAUAAGGAAACACAACAUUAAUUUGCUUUCACACGCGCGACCAAGCCAAU